ACCUGGGGUAGCUCAGUGGAAAGAGCACGAGACUUUUAAACUCAGGGUCAUGGGUGCAAGCCCCACCUUGGGCA